UGCGUCGGGGUCGAGGCUCCAGCCUGACCAAUCCAGGGGGUCGACAAAACAGAUUCGGGACACCAUGCUACACGCAGGGCCUACCAGGAUGCAGAAACAGCAGACGGAGUCCGGGGAAAGCAGUGCGGCAUCCCAGCCUCAGGCCUGCCCGUACGGUGUUCGGGAGGGGAGGAGACCAAUGUGAAAGGAGAUGGUUAUAUCUCCUCGCGGCUCUUCUCUGAGAAAUGAAGCCAGGAUACGAAACAAUCUUCAAGAAGAAGCUGAAAACCGGAUAUGACAAGGAUGUCCCCAGAACACAGCAGGCAUCCUGAAGCUCUGCCUCCUGAAGCUCCCCCUCCCUCGGUGGAAGUCGGCUCAGGGAGGUCCUGAGGACAGGACUCCUGGGGGUUUGGCUGCAGAAUGAAUUAAUUCACUAGGACUUUAUAUAAUUUUUCAAAUCAUGAAAUUGCACAAUCUUUUGAAUAUGGAAUUGGGAGGCCUUUCAGUUCAUUCAGUAGAAAACUGGAACAUUUUUGAAGGGUGAUCUGCUCGACACCUUUCAAAGAGUACAAAACCUUGUGAAGUAGCAGAUGCAAUGAUUACCAAUGUACCUUAUAAAAUGACUUUCAGAGUUUGAGAUUAAAUUGGCUUUUCUGAAAUAUGUAAGUCUCUGGAAAAACUCAACAUUUCUAAUCUUGCUUUGGAAAGCCUUUAAGUAUGUAAAAAUCAAUUUCUUAUAUCUUCUCUGAAAUAAACAUGGAAUAUCCUAAGGUUUUAUUCAUGUUUCAUGAAUUUCACAGCAUUCAUCAUAUUUUCAAGUUAUUUUUGAUGCUUUGCAUUGUAUUAAAAUCUCUCUUGGAAUGAGAGGCCUGAAAAACAAUCAUAAUAUACUGUUGUUGUCUAACAAUAUAUCAAGUUUUUAAUGACUCUUACAAUGCAAUAUUUUUAUCAUUCUUGUAGUUUAUCCACAUGUAUUUAAUAUUACUAGCAGAAAUUUAGAUUUUAGUAAAUUAAUUCUGAUCUUUGUAAAAUAAAAUGCUUUAGUUUUCAAUCUA
rnacentral:lncRNA from 1 species